rnacentral:rRNA from 1 species
CCUACGGGAGGCAGCAGUAGGGAAUAUUGGUCAAUGGGUGAGAGCCUGAACCAGCCAUGCCGCGUGCAGGAAGACGGCCCUAUGGGUUGUAAACUGCUUUUACCAGGGGAUAAAACGGUCUUGCGAGACUAAUUGAAGGUACCUGGUGAAUAAGCCACGGCUAACUACGUGCCAGCAGCCGCGGUAAUACGUAGGUGGCAAGCGUUGUCCGGAUUUAUUGGGUUUAAAGGGUGCGUAGGCGGUCCUAUAAGUCAGUGCUGAAAUAUCCCGGCUUAACCGGGAGGGUGGCAUUGAUACUGCAGGACUUGAGUAAAGUUGAGGUUGGCGGAAUUGACGGUGUAGCGGUGAAAUGCUUAGAUAUCGUCAAGAACACCGAUAGCGAAGGCAGCUAACUAAGCUUUAACUGACGCUGAGGCACGAAAGUGUGGGGAUCAAACAGG